rnacentral:rRNA from 1 species
AUUGAACGCUGGCGGCAGGCCUAACACAUGCAAGUCGAGCGGAUGAAGGGAGCUUGCUCCUGGAUUCAGCGGCGGACGGGGGAGUAAUGCCUAGGAAUCUGCCUGGUAGUGGGGGAUAACGUCCGGAAACGGGCGCUAAUACCGCCUACGUCCUGAGGGAGAAAGUGGGGGAGCUUCGGACCUCACGCUAUCAUAUGAGCCUAGGUCGGGUUAGCUAGUUGGUGGGUUAAAGGCCUACCAAGGCGACGAUCCGUAACUGGUCUGAGAGGAUGAUCAGUCACACGGGAACUGAGACACGGUCCAGACUCCUACGGGAGGCAGCAGUGGGGAAUAUUGGACAAUGGGCGAAAGCCUGAUCCAGCCAUGCCGCGUGUGUGAAGAAGGUCUUCGGAUUGUAAAGCACUUUAAGUUGGGAGGAAGGGCAGUAAGUUAAUACCUUGCUGUUUUGACGUUACCAACAGAAUAAGCACCGGCUAACUUCGUG